rnacentral:lncRNA from 1 species
AUGAAAACUGUUGUUGCUUUUCAAAAGGAAAUUGUGGAUCAUUCAAAAAACAUAAAAUUAUAAACAAAAUGUUCUACAUUCAUCAGCUGGGAGAUGUUGAUGUUAAGAAACAUCUCAUCAACUUAAAGGUCAUGCGAUUAAACGAUAAUAAUAUUUGGGAAGAAAAUGGACUUAUUGCAAAUAGACUUAAAAGAAAUCUU